AACGCACCUUGCGCUCCUUGGUAUUCCGAGGAGCAUACCUGUUUGAGUGUCAUGGUAAUCUCAAUCUUUGAUACUUUUUGUGUCGAAGGCUUGGAUUUGGAGGUUGUGUCGGCAUGAGUCGACUCCUCUGAAAUGCAUUAGUGUGAAUCUUACGGAUCACCUUCAGUGUGAUAAUUGUCUACGCUGUGGUGUUGAAGUGUUGAAGUGUUCAUGCUUACAACUGUCUGCAACAGACAAUUUGUUUGACAAUCUGACCUCAAAUCAGGUAGGACUACCCGCUGAACUUAA
rnacentral:misc_RNA from 1 species